GACGAACGCUGGCGGCGUGCCUAAUACAUGCAAGUAGAACGCUGAAGGAGGAGCUUGCUUCUCUGGAUGAGUUGCGAACGGGUGAGUAACGCGUAGGUAACCUGCCUGGUAGCGGGGGAUAACUAUUGGAAACGAUAGCUAAUACCGCAUAAUAGUAGAUGUUGCAUGACAUUUGCUUAAAAGGUGCAAUUGCAUCACUACCAGAUGGACCUGCGUUGUAUUAGCUAGUUGGUGGGGUAACGGCCCACCAAGGCGACGAUACAUAGCCGACCUGAGAGGGGGGUCGGCCACACUGGGACUGUGACACGGCCCAGACGCCUUCGGGAGGCAGCAGUAGGGAAUCUUCGGCAAUGGGCGGAAGUCUGACCGAGCAACGCCGCGGGAGGGAAGAAGGGUUUCGGAUCGGAAAGCUCUGUUGUAAGGGAAGAACGAGUGUGAGAGUGGAAAGUUCACACUGUGACGGUAUCUUACCAGAAAGGGACGGCUAACUACGUG
rnacentral:rRNA from 1 species